GGGUUGUGAGGUUAAGCGACUAAGCGUACACGGUGGAUGCCCUGGCAGUCAGAGGCGAUGAAGGACGUGCUAAUCUGCGAUAAGCGUCGGUAAGGUGAUAUGAACCGUUAUAACCGGCGAUUUCCGAAUGGGGAAACCCAGUGUGUUUCGACACACUAUCAUUAACUGAAUCCAUAGGUUAAUGAGGCGAACCGGGGGAACUGAAACAUCUAAGUACCCCGAGGAAAAGAAAUCAACCGAGAUUCCCCCAGUAGCGGCGAGCGAACGGGGAGCAGCCCAGAGCCUGAAUCAGUAUGUGUGUUAGUGGAAGCGUCUGGAAAGGCGCGCGAUACAGGGUGACAGCCCCGUACACAAAAAUGCACAUGCUGUGAGCUCGAUGAGUAGGGCGGGACACGUGGUAUCCUGUCUGAAUAUGGGGGGACCAUCCUCCAAGGCUAAAUACUCCUGACUGACCGAUAGUGAACCAGUACCGUGAGGGAAAGGCGAAAAGAACCCCGGCGAGGGGAGUGAAAAAGAACCUGAAACCGUGUACGUACAAGCAGUGGGAGCACGCUUCGGCGUGUGACUGCGUACCUUUUGUAUAAUGGGUCAGCGACUUAUAUUCUGUAGCAAGGUUAACCGAAUAGGGGAGCCGAAGGGAAACCGAGUCUUAACUGGGCGUUAAGUUGCAGGGUAUAGACCCGAAACCCGGUGAUCUAGCCAUGGGCAGGUUGAAGGUUGGGUAACACUAACUGGAGGACCGAACCGACUAAUGUUGAAAAAUUAGCGGAUGACUUGUGGCUGGGGGUGAAAGGCCAAUCAAACCGGGAGAUAGCUGGUUCUCCCCGAAAGCUAUUUAGGUAGCGCCUCGUGAAUUCAUCUCCGGGGGUAGAGCACUGUUUCGGCAAGGGGGUCAUCCCGACUUACCAACCCGAUGCAAACUGCGAAUACCGGAGAAUGUUAUCACGGGAGACACACGGCGGGUGCUAACGUCCGUCGUGAAGAGGGAAACAACCCAGACCGCCAGCUAAGGUCCCAAAGUCAUGGUUAAGUGGGAAACGAUGUGGGAAGGCCCAGACAGCCAGGAUGUUGGCUUAGAAGCAGCCAUCAUUUAAAGAAAGCGUAAUAGCUCACUGGUCGAGUCGGCCUGCGCGGAAGAUGUAACGGGGCUAAACCAUGCACCGAAGCUGCGGCAGCGACGCUUAUGCGUUGUUGGGUAGGGGAGCGUUCUGUAAGCCUGUGAAGGUGUGCUGUGAGGCAUGCUGGAGGUAUCAGAAGUGCGAAUGCUGACAUAAGUAACGAUAAAGCGGGUGAAAAGCCCGCUCGCCGGAAGACCAAGGGUUCCUGUCCAACGUUAAUCGGGGCAGGGUGAGUCGACCCCUAAGGCGAGGCCGAAAGGCGUAGUCGAUGGGAAACAGGUUAAUAUUCCUGUACUUGGUGUUACUGCGAAGGGGGGACGGAGAAGGCUAUGUUGGCCGGGCGACGGUUGUCCCGGUUUAAGCGUGUAGGCUGGUUUUCCAGGCAAAUCCGGAAAAUCAAGGCUGAGGCGUGAUGACGAGGCACUACGGUGCUGAAGCAACAAAUGCCCUGCUUCCAGGAAAAGCCUCUAAGCAUCAGGUAACAUCAAAUCGUACCCCAAACCGACACAGGUGGUCAGGUAGAGAAUACCAAGGCGCUUGAGAGAACUCGGGUGAAGGAACUAGGCAAAAUGGUGCCGUAACUUCGGGAGAAGGCACGCUGAUAUGUAGGUGAAGUCCCUCGCGGAUGGAGCUGAAAUCAGUCGAAGAUACCAGCUGGCUGCAACUGUUUAUUAAAAACACAGCACUGUGCAAACACGAAAGUGGACGUAUACGGUGUGACGCCUGCCCGGUGCCGGAAGGUUAAUUGAUGGGGUCAGCGCAAGCGAAGCUCUUGAUCGAAGCCCCGGUAAACGGCGGCCGUAACUAUAACGGUCCUAAGGUAGCGAAAUUCCUUGUCGGGUAAGUUCCGACCUGCACGAAUGGCGUAAUGAUGGCCAGGCUGUCUCCACCCGAGACUCAGUGAAAUUGAACUCGCUGUGAAGAUGCAGUGUACCCGCGGCAAGACGGAAAGACCCCGUGAACCUUUACUAUAGCUUGACACUGAACAUUGAGCCUUGAUGUGUAGGAUAGGUGGGAGGCUUUGAAGUGUGGACGCCAGUCUGCAUGGAGCCGACCUUGAAAUACCACCCUUUAAUGUUUGAUGUUCUAACGUGGACCCGUGAUCCGGGUUGCGGACAGUGUCUGGUGGGUAGUUUGACUGGGGCGGUCUCCUCCUAAAGAGUAACGGAGGAGCACGAAGGUUGGCUAAUCCUGGUCGGACAUCAGGAGGUUAGUGCAAUGGCAUAAGCCAGCUUGACUGCGAGCGUGACGGCGCGAGCAGGUGCGAAAGCAGGUCAUAGUGAUCCGGUGGUUCUGAAUGGAAGGGCCAUCGCUCAACGGAUAAAAGGUACUCCGGGGAUAACAGGCUGAUACCGCCCAAGAGUUCAUAUCGACGGCGGUGUUUGGCACCUCGAUGUCGGCUCAUCACAUCCUGGGGCUGAAGUAGGUCCCAAGGGUAUGGCUGUUCGCCAUUUAAAGUGGUACGCGAGCUGGGUUUAGAACGUCGUGAGACAGUUCGGUCCCUAUCUGCCGUGGGCGCUGGAGAACUGAGGGGGGCUGCUCCUAGUACGAGAGGACCGGAGUGGACGCAUCACUGGUGUUCGGGUUGUCAUGCCAAUGGCACUGCCCGGUAGCUAAAUGCGGAAGAGAUAAGUGCUGAAAGCAUCUAAGCACGAAACUUGCCCCGAGAUGAGUUCUCCCUGACCCUUUAAGGGUCCUGAAGGAACGUUGAAGACGACGACGUUGAUAGGCCGGGUGUGUAAGCGCAGCGAUGCGUUGAGCUAACCGGUACUAAUGAACCGUGAGGCUUAACCUUACAACGCCGAAGGUGUUU
rnacentral:rRNA from 1 species